rnacentral:ncRNA from 1 species
ACGAACGCGUUGAAGGAUCGAGUACGAAGUAGCCCAUCUUUAAGAGAGGAAUUGCCGAGGCUGUGAGCAAUUCCAGAUGAAGAACUUCCGAACGCUAGUCCGGAGUGCGAUUAAUACUCGCCGGGUUUCGCCCCGUUACAGCGAAUACUGAGUGAUGGACCUCGUCCAUAACCAGGGUGGUACCGCGGAAAACUCCCGUCCCUGCA